CCUACGGGUGGCAGCAGUAGGGAAUAUUGCUCAAUGGUGGAAACCCUGAAGCAGCAACGCCGCGUGGAGGAUGAAGGUUUUCGGAUUGUAAACUCCUUUUUUUAGAGAAGAUAAUGACGGUAUCUAACGAAUAAUCACCGGCUAACUCCGUGCCACCAGCCGCGGCAAUACGGAGGGUGCAAGCGUUACUCGGAAUCUCUGGGCGUAAAGGGCGCGUAGGCGGGAUAGCAAGUCAGAUGUGAAAUCCUAUGGCUUAACCAUAGAACUGCAGUUGAAACUGGUAGUCUAGAGUAUGGGAGAGGUAGGUGGAAUUCGUGGUGUAGGGGUAAAAUCCGUAGAGAUCAAGAAGAAUACUCAUUGCGAAGGCGACCUGCUAGAACAUAACUGACGCUGAGGCGCGAAAGCGUGGGGAGCGAACAGGAUUAGAUACCCGAGUAGUC
rnacentral:rRNA from 1 species